CCUUAUAUUUUCCGAGAAAAUUACGAUAAGAUCAAAAUGUCUGAAUUACCCCUUUCACCGCUAUGAUAUUACGUUGCUCUGUAAUUUCCUCUCCUACUUUUGUAACCCUGAUUCAAUCUCCAUUGAAAUUGACUCGUUUCUCCACCAAUUCUGCGAUAAUUGGCUUCUCGAACUAUAUAUAAUUAUAAAUCAUAUAUAUACAUGAUAUGAUUGUUGUGGCGAGUUUCAAAUUGGGGCCAAUCCCAACAUGUCUAUCUCAAAAGCAUUCAAAGAGAUCAAAUUGUUCUCCGUCAAACUCUGUCUUGUCGAAAUUGAUUCCAGAGGCCAACUCCAUAUCCCACAAAGGAAAAAGAUGGUGUGAGUGGUUUGAUCUGUAUAAUGAGCUAAUUCCAUAUGGGGAUGCGUGGUCUCGGCAAAAAUCCAUUGUCAAAGAGAGGAAAGCAUUGAUUGAAAGGAACGAAGACUGGUCUGACACUUUGAUCAUUCUACAACACCAACCUUUUUAUACAUUGGGUACCGGUAGUUCAGAAGAGUUAUUGAAUUUUGACAUAAAGGAUGCUCCUUUCGAUGUUUAUCGAAACAAACUGGGCGGGGAAGUGACAUAUCAUGGACCAGGGCAGUCUCAUUUCGUGGGUAUGCUGGAUUAUACUAAAAGAUUGGUUGAGUAUGUGAAGCAAUUGACUAUGAGGGCGCUUGAGGAGGUGGUCAUUCUUGCUCUUUCCUCAGCAUUUUCUAUCAAAGCUUCCCGGCUUGAAGGUUUAACUGGUGUUUGGGUUGGAGAUCAGAAAUUAGCUGCUAUUGGGAUACGAGUAUCACAGUGGGUAGCAUAUCAUGGCUUAUUCAAUGCUAUUGGCUUAGCAUUGAAUAUCACCGCAGAUCUAACUCCUUUUCAAAGAAUAGUUCCAUGUGGGAUAAGGAAUCGUCGUGUUAGAAGCAUAAAGGGAUUAUUGAUGGAAUCUUUGUCACUUGAUGGAUGCAGAAGAAUGGACAUACAAUGUCAUGAUGAUUACCAACUAAUUUAUAUUACUCACAAAUCAUUAGUAAGAGCAUUUUGUGAAGUUUUCCAAGUUGACCUCCUCCAAAAAUCUAUCCCGCCUCAGAAUUAUGAAAGGGGAAACUGCCAACAUACCUUACUGGGAACCUAAUCUAACUGAGAGAUUAAAAAGAGCUUGUUUGAAUCAUCUCAACCAGUCAAUGUAUCUGUUGUAGAAUACUAUUGAAAAUCUUUAUGGUCUUCUCUAUCUAUAAAUUGGGACCUCAUCUACCUAAAUGAAACAACUCUGCAGCAGGCUUGUGUUCUUGAAAUAUUUAGAUACCUUGUAUUCUAUUUUUUUUAUCUGUGAUGAAUAUUUCUGGAUACUUAUUAUAGUUCUAAAUUUCUUCAACUUUACUCUCAAUACCUGUAUAGUUCCUUGCAGCAUUUCAUUUAAACAAAAGACUUACACAGUUAGGUUCAACGAAGCAUUUCAUUUAAGUAAAAUACCUAAGGGUAUUGCUUGGCAGGACCGUUUUGGAGCUUUGGAAUUGGGUUGGAUGCUCCAAUUCCAAAUUCUGUGCUUGGAUACUAUAACUAACAUGGGUAUGGAAUUACAUUACAAUCCCAAACACCCCAAAUCAACAAUUUCAAUACCACGAUCGAACCACAUAUUUGAAAUCCCAAAACCAACCCAACACAACACCUCUCUAUCUCUCUCUCCCUAGCGCUCACUCGACCCCAACCUCUCGAUCUCUCUCGACCCCCAACCUCUCGAUAUCUCUCUAUGGCUCGCUCCACUCCAUCAUUCCAUCUCAAUCCAGCUCCCUAGAUUGUCCAUCUCUAACCCUAGCUUUUCCAUCUCGAUCAGCCUUCAAAGCCUAGCUCAUUGAUCAUUAUUUUAGAACCCUAGUUCAAUCGUUCAGUUGAAGAUGAAGAUCAUGACUAGUAGCAAAGUAGAAUCAUCAGUAUCUCACCUUUGCUCUUCAGUUACUCUUUAACUGUGAAGGUCCCCUUCGUCAUUUUUGUUAUCCAAAACUGUUCUAGUGUUGUUUUGAGGCAUGGAAAUCAGAGAGGGCAGUGAGAAAGGGAAGUCAGCAAAAUACUUUACAUGGACUGUUGAGAUGGAUCGUAUAUUGUCUGCUGUGUUAAUGGAGCAGCUGAACUUGGGAAACCAACUUGACGGCAAAUUGGCGAGGAAAUAGGUUGCUUGGACUGUUGCUAUCAGUGCUCUGAAAGAGCAGCUCGGUAUUGGUGUCAUAAAGCAAAACAUUCAAUCCCGUCUAAGAAACUUGGGACAAACAUUAUACAAUCACACGUGACAUGCUCUCCAAAUCAUGUCUUUUUUUUUUUUUUUUCUCUCUUCUUUGUUGGUACUCACACACACGUGUCUCCACUGAGACUCGAACACCUGACCUCUCUUUGAGAAGUAGGAGUCCGGUACCGCUAGGCUACUGGCCUAUUGGUCUCUCCAAAUCAUGUUUACUUUGGGAAAUUCUGGUGAAGAAAUAUGCAAAUGAGCAGUUGCCAGUUUGGUGUAGUGACUGUGAUCCACAUUAAUAUCUGCUUAUUUGGUGUUUGAUGAUUGCAUAUAUGUUGCCCUUGUUGAACAAUUAGUACUAGUGUUGUGUUGCUGAUGAGCCUCACGAUAUGUUUUUUGUUUCAUUUCGUUGCAUUUUGUAGUAACAUUUUUUGAAAACUUUUCCUUUUCUGAUAUUUUUAUCACAGUAUGUCAUAUAAAACGGCCCUUAUCAAUGCUACCUAGAACGGAUAGAAAUCUGUCCAUAUUUAGCAUAUGAAGUUUUGAAAUUAUGGUAUAAAUUGAUAUAAAUUUAUGGCUGCAUAAGGUGCUCAGCCGUAUUCUGUGAAGCCAAUACUGACCUCUCCCUGGAAAGUUCCCACCAUUCUCUCCCUUUCUAAAAAUCUCUCACACUAUAUUCAGCUCUGUAGAUUUCUCCCUAUAAAACAUCUCUCUAGAUAUUUCUAUAUCUCCAUAGAAAGAGAUGAGACUAGCGAAAAUAUUUUACCUGUAAUAUAGAUUGAAAUAAAGGAAAUAGAUGGAUUAAAACGAAUAACAUAUACCAUACGGUGUCAGAAAAAAAAAAAAAAAAAAAAAAAAAACCGAAUAAUAUAAUAUUAUAUGGUGCCAAAAAAACAAAAAAAAAAAAAGGCCACGUGUAAUAUCGCAAGGCAUUGAUGCUUGCCAUUAUACAAAGGUCCCCCAUUGAAACGAAUGCAGUGCAAGGCAUUGAUGCUUGCCAUUAUACAAAGGUCUCCCAUUGAAACGAAUGCAGUGCAACAGAGCGUAUAUUUAUUUUUUGAGAGGGAAAAUAAAUAAAAAAAUACUAAUUUGGCAAGUCGCGUAAUGCCACGUAAUAAUUAUAAAUGUUCUCUCUUGUUUGCACGCCCUCCUGUCGCCGUUCAUUUGAAAUCAUUGAUAGAGAUCCAUCUCAUGUUCCCGUUCCAAAGCAAUUAGGGAUAUAAAACUAAACAUUCUUAGUCUUCUUCACCUUAUCAAGGCCUUGGUAUCUCCAACUCCACCUCACCUGCCGGUGAUCUCUCCGGCGAGUACUCAAUGUUUUCUCCAACACCAUUGUCUCGCCCUAAUCCUCGCCGUCGAAUUCGACACAAGCCGUAGCCCAAGCAAUCACAUCAAAAUCAACUUGAACAACAUCGAAUCAAAGGCGAUUUUUGAAUUAAAUCUGGGUAAUACAUGCCUGGAUCGAAUUUGAGAUCAUUGAUCAUAUAUGCCCCAUUUUUUUUAUUUUAGAAUUAGCUAUUUGUGUGGUAUAGAGAAUUAUUUAAUUUCAAUUUUAGUUUUAUGCAUAGCAACUUUUGGGGAUGUUGAAUCUAACGACUUGAUGAAUAUACAGACUAUUAGAGUUUGUUGGGGUUGGAAGUGAGAUGAAUAGAUGAUGCAUGAUUGCUUUGGUGGGGAGAUAAAAAAAAAAAAAAAAAGAAAAGAAAAGAAAGAAAAGGAACAGCUGGCCCACUCUUUUUCAGAGAUAUUGCAGCCCAAACGAGAGAGAGAGAAAGCAAGAAAGCUACAAAGAGAGAGUAGAAGAACAAGGGGAGGAGUAGGAAAGGA